rnacentral:lncRNA from 10 species
GCGAGCCCUCCCAGGAACACAUGCAGACUGCACCCUGUGCUCACCAGGAGCCAAGAUACUUUUAGCUGGUAUAAUGACAAAAUCUGAAAUGCAUUCUAACAUGAUACUUUUACUGAAGAGUGGGAUAAUAUGGCAUUUGUUAUUGCCUGUCCUAGGAGGGGUUUAUAUUCUAAUAAAAGUAAAAACUCAAGCUAAGCAAACUAAACCCUAGAAUUCAGGAAUCAUUGUACAGGCAGGGCAGGGAUUUGGGGGAAGAUAGACACCUCAGCCCAUGGAAAUUACAACAGGAAAAUCACUCCCUACACCCACCCUCCUGCCUGUUCUCCAAAACUUGAAGAAUAACAUUACCAGCAGAAGGAAAAACCAGUCCCUGAUUCCCACCCCCACCCCCAUCCAGUUCCCUCCUUCUUUUGUUAAAGCUUUCUGUAGAGAGCAAUGACUGAGAGGAUCAAAGCAUCUACUUCCUUCCCUUUGAUGUGUGGUCUGAGACAGGCUCUGAUGUCAGCCACGUGUUGUAUUUCAUUAGACCUGAUAUUAAGCUUCCUAGAGGUCAGGACGACCAUGCUGCUUUAAGAACCAGGCUAUAAGAAGGCUCACUUUGCUGAAAAUAUCAGAGGUCUCAGCACCCCUUCAGACCCACUAGGAAAUUAUACAGCAACUAUGCUGUAAGAAGCCAAGUCAAAUGGAGAGGCUACAUGGAAGGAAUACUGAGGCCCUCCAGUCAACAGCCCUCACUGAAUUUCCAGGCAACAGCCUGCAUCAACUAACAGCUUUAUGGAUAAGCUGUCUUAGACACACCAGCUGGUCCAGUCCCCAGAUGACUGAAGCUCCAAACAUCAUUUAGAGGAGAAGAAUCACCCAGCCUAGCCCAGUCACCCUGCAGAAUCAUGAGAGUUAAUAAAAUCAAUAUUGUUUUAAGCCACUAUUUGGUCAUUUUUUAUGAUGGAGUAGAUAAUGAAAACAUAAUGCUUCUAGUGUAGCAGAGAAGAACGGCAUUAAGUACAGUGGUAAAAUGUGAUGAGUGUCCAAGGUACUAUGAGAGUAUAGAAUAUGUCUCCAAGUUGAGAUGUUAGUGUAGGAGUUAACCAUUUAUAAAAGAGAUGUGGGUUCCAAAGUCAUGGGCUUGUGUGAGGGCAAGAAAGAAAGAGUGCAGAGCUUUUCUAAGGAGCUGACGUAACUUUAGUGCCGCCUGAUCCUGAAGUGUGAGGAAGAGGAAUAAGAUGAGAGAGGGAAGUAUUAUUUAGAAUGUCAUAAAUAUCAUAAAUGCAGUGGGGGGCCUUUGAAGCACUGUAAGCCUAGAAAUAAAGUAACUGAUUUUGUGAUGUUUCAUCUUGACUGAGGUAUAUGUGUGAGUACUAACAAAUCCAGUAAAUUUUUAUUAUACCUAUUUUUAGAUAGAUAGAUGGGAAAAUGGGGACUCUUUUU